AGCUUGACUGCGAGACUUACAAGUCGAGCAGAUGCGAAAGCAGGGCAUAGUGAUCCGGCGGUAGCGUGUGGAAGCGCCGUCGCUCAACGGAUAAAAGGUACCCCGGGGAUAACAGGCUCAUCUUCCCCAAGAGUCCAUAUCGACGGGAAGGUUUGGCACCUCGAUGUCGGCUCGUCGCAUCCUGGGGCUGUAGUAGGUCCCAAGGGUUGGGCUGUUCGCCCAUUAAAGCGGUACGCGAGCUGGGUUUAGAACGUCGUGAGACAGUUCGGUCCCUAUCCGAUGCAGCCGCAGGAGACCUGAGGAAGGCUGUCCCUAGUACGAGAGGACCGGGACGGACGUAGCUCUUGUGUGCCAGUUGUCCCGCCAGGGGCAUGGCUGGUUAGCAACCUACGGAAGGGAUAAGCGCUGAAAGCAUAUAAGCGCGAAGCUCUUUCCAAGAUGAGGUCUCCCACAGGGUUAACCUGGUAAGGCCCGUGGCAGACUACCACGUUGAUAGGCCGGAAGUGUAAGUGUGGCAACACAUUCAGCUGACCGGUACUAAUCGGCCGAGGGCUUGGAGCUA
rnacentral:ncRNA from 1 species